rnacentral:lncRNA from 1 species
GCGCACACCCCCGCCCACUCCCGCGGUGCCCGUUCCCCCGCGGCUCAUGUGACGCCAGCUUAAGCUGAACGGGACCGAAGCCGGGAGACGCCUCCCCGAGCUCGGGGACUGAGUGGCAGCGCGCUUGGGAACCCCAGGAGCCGCCGGGAUUGGACCCGUUCCCCGCCACCGUUAUUGCGCUCCCACGCGCGCUCCAAACCCCGGGGUGGGAGGGGGCUGGAGAAAGGACGCGAGGAAACCCGAAGAACAUUCAUUUUCUCUUUCCCAGGGAACCUGGGUCUGGGCAGGUCGGCACCCUAGGAAAGGGGGCGGAGUGGGGCAAUGGAAAGGAAUUUCUUGGGAAUUUCACGACUCCACCGCCGCCCCCCCCGGCCCCGCCCCACCCCACCCCACCCUACAAGGCGCGACCCGGCUGAUCCCUGCCCUGCAGGAACCCGGUUUCUCGCCAGCGAACUGCUCUCAGAGGCUACCGAGCGUUCCCGCCUCGCCGCAGGAACUCUUCUAGCUCGCCCUCGGGCUCUGGGGACCGCUCCACAGCGGGGCCUCCCGGAAUUCCCUGCCGGUCUCCGCGGGCACACUUGGCUGGCUGCUGCGACCAAAACUACCUUCGCGUGGCAGGGUCCUCCCUCCUCCUCACAGACACCCCGACAUCACCCUCAAAACUGGAAGGGACAACCCCGAGUGAUCUAGGCGAUGGUGGAUACCUGAAAGCCACCCAUGGAAAAGGUGAAGAAAGUGCCCCCUGGUUCUCAGAAGAGCCACUGCUGCUGUUGUGAGCAGAUAUCGGAUGGUGUCUCUGGCUGCAUCAUUCGUCAACCACACAUAUUCAUAUGAGUGUUACCCUCCAGCACUGUGCCUUCCAAAAGCCCCUGGCUGAGGAAGCACUGCUUCUGAGCCACAGAGACAGCUGAUUUAUGGACCAUUUUAUCACCGCUUCUAAACUGUGGCUCUAAACCUAACACAGAGGGUAAUGGUAGUGCUGUAUCCAUUCAUUCACCCAAUAAAUAUUUGCUGAGCACCAUCUGCAUAUCAGGGAAUGUACUAGAUGUAUACAGAGAUGAAAAAGCCAUAGUCCCUGUCGCACACAGCCCAGCAGACAGACACAGAAACAAAAAUAUGAUGUCAUGAGUUAGACGCAAGGAGAGAGAUCUGACAAGUGUACUGUUGGAACAGAUGAGGGGCACUGAACCCCGUGGGAAAGGAGGCUCCAGGCUUAACUUUUUGGAGGAGGUGAAACUUAAGUGAACGUUAAAGAAUGAGAGUCAGCCAGAUAAAGAGUGUGGGAAGUUACUCCAGAAGGAAGGACCAGCACAAGCUAAUGCACAAGGACAGGAAACUGCAUGGUAUACAAAGGAAUGUCUAGCAUCUCAACGUGGCUGGACUAGAAAUCCAAGGCCGGGAGGGGCAAGAGACGGGGCUAGAGAGGUGCAAAGCAGCCAGACCAUGAAGGCCUCAUGUGCCAGGUGGAGUGUGGAUCUAAGGGGAGCAAGGCUGGCUGGAAGCUUUGACACCAGUUGCAAAGCUGUUGCAAUAAUCCAGGUCGAAAUGGAAAAGUGUGGAUAGACCAGAAAUACUUAGGGGAUAAAACUGAAAGACCUAGGAGUCUGGAGAAAAGAUAAGUGUUUUUGUUGAGAGAUCCCAUGCACUUUACCUAUAUUAAGUUCCUCCUAUGAGGUGUUUCUCUGUCUUACAGAGAAAACAAACUGAGGCUCAGAGAGGUAGUAACUAGUCCAAAAUGGCACCAGUACAUGUGACUCCCAGACCUGUGCCUUUAACCCCAGUGGUUCUCAACUCUAGGAUAUUUUAACAGCUCCCCCUCACAAGGGAUAUUUGUUGAUGUCUGGAGUCAUUUUGGGUUAUCACAGCUGGUGGGUUCCUACUGGCAUCCAGUGGAUGCAGGUUGGGAAUGCUGCUAAACGUUCUACAAUGGAUAGGACAGCAUCCCCACAACAAAGAAUUAUCCAGGCCAGGCAUGAUGGCUCAUGCCUGUAAUCCCAACACUUUGGGAAGCUGAGGCAGGUGGAUCGCUUGAGGUCAGGGGUUCGAGACCAGCCUGGGCAAGGUGGCGAAAACCCGUCUUUACCAAAAAUACAAAAAUUAGCUGGCCAUGGUGGUGUGAAUCUGUAUUCUCAGCUACUUGGGGGGCUGAGGCAGGAGGAUUGCUUGAGCCCAGGAGGUCAGGGCUGCAGUGAGCCAUGAUUGCACCAUUGCAUUCCAGCCUGGGUGACAGAGCAACACUCUGUCCAGAAAAAAAAAAAAGAAAGAAAGAAAGAAUUAACCAGCCAAAUAUGAAAGAAAGAAAGAAUUAACCAGCCCAAAAUAUCAAGAGUGCUGAGGUUGAGCAAUCCUGCUUUAAUCAUGAGUUUAUAGUUUAGAUGAUCUGGGGAAUGGUGGCACUAUGACCAAUUAAGAUAGAACAGAAAAGGAAAAUAUUUAGGAACAGAAUCAUGGAUUGAGUUUGAACACAUUGAAUUUGGAGUGCUCUUAGAAUGUCCAGAUUCCAUAGACCAGCAGGCAGUUUGACUGCAUAGCCCUGACCUCAGGCAAAACAGAGUUGAGAGUCAUCUGCAUAUGGAUGAUAUUAACACCAGGAGACCACCCAUGAAGAAUGCCCAGGUGGACAUGAGAAGAGGGCAGAACCCUGGAGAACAACACUUAGAAAGGGACAGCAAAGAACAAGAACCCCUGAAGGAGACAAAGAAAAUGGUCAUCCAGGAACGAGGAGGGCCUGGAGUAUAUGACGUUGAGGAGGUCAAAGGAGUAAGGUUUCAAAGUAAGAGGAAUUGGCAAUAUCAGAUAUAUUCAAAAAGUCUGGAAAAUAAGGCCUAAACAGUGUUCUUGGAUAUGACAGUUGAAAAUUCACUGGUGACCUUGGCCAAUGGAAUUUUGGCAGAGUGGCAAAAGCUGUAAGUUUAAAGAGACAUUAGGAGUGAAUAAAUGGAGACUGAAUAUAGAGGGGAAAAAGAAGUAGCUAAAGGGGCAAUAGCUAGACGCAAGUACUGAGAUCAAAGGAAGAUUUCUUUUAAAACUGGAAAAUGUGAGCUGUUUGAAAAGAAGAAUUCAGUUAAGAGGAAAAAGUUGAAAAUGUAAGCUAAAGAAAGUUAAGGGAGCCAGGUGGAGUGGCUCACGCCUGUAAUCCCAGAACUUUGGACGGCCAAGGCAGGUGGAUCGCUUGAACUCAGGAGUUCGAAACCAGCCUGGGUGACAUGGUAAAAACCUAUCUCUACCAAAAAUACUAAAAAUUAGCCGGGCGUGGUGGAGUGCACCUGUGGUCCCAGCUACUUGGAAGACUGAGGUGGGAAGAUUGCUAGAGCCUGGGAAGUCUAGGCUGCAAUGAGCCACGAUUGGGCCACUGCACUCCAGCCUGGGUGACAGAGCCAGACACUGUCUAGAAAAAAAAAAGGAAAGUUGAGGGAUAGCACAAAGUUCUUGAGGAGAUAGGACCAUAUGGGUUCAAGGACACAGGCUAAGGGAUGGGCCAUUGAACAAGAAGAAAGACCCUCAUCUGGCUGGGUGAGGUGGCUCAUGCCUGUAAUCCCAGCAUUUUGGACGGCCAAGGCAAGCGGAUCACUUGAGCCCAGGAGUUCAAAACCAGCCUGGCCAACAUGGUGAAACCCCAUCUCUACUAAAAAUACAAAAAUUAGCCAGAUAUGGUGGUUUACACCUGUUGUCUCAGCUACUUGGGAGGUUGAGGUGGCAGAUCGCUUGAGCCCAGGAGGCAGAGGUUGCAGUGAGCUGAGAUCGUACCACUGCACCCCAGCCUGGGUGACAGAGCGAGACUCGGUCUCAAAAAAAAAAGAAAAGAAAAAAAAAAAAAGAAAAGAAAGACCCUCAUCUGAGCCUGAGGAAAGAAAAGGGGGAGUUAUGAUGCGUGAGGAUGCCCACAGUGUGUGGGAAGACGGUAAGGAAGUAAGUUGAAACAAUAACUGAUGAACUUAUCUUCUCAAUAAGGGAGGUCCUGAGAUGGACCAAGGUAACAGACUGACCCAUCUUCUCACUCAUGGCCACCACCCUGUGAAAUGAUACUGGGGACUUUAGUCUCAGUAUAAGACAACCUUUACUAAAUACAAAAAAUUAGCCAAGCAUGGUGGCGCAUGCCUGUAAUCCCAGCUACUCGGGAGGCUGAAGCAGGAAAAUCACUUGAACCCAGGAGGUGGAGGUUGUGGUGAGCUGAGAUCACACCAUUGCACUCCAGCCUGGGCAACAAGAGUGAAACUCCAUCUCAAAAAAAAAAAAAAAAAGAACUGGAUUGACACAUGAGGUGACAUAAAGAAGGGAGAGUGCCAGCCCCAUGCCUGGCAUGCAGCAGGCCACCUCAAUGCUCAUGAAUUUCUUUUCCACCCUGCUAUGGGUGACUGACCAUGUGAGGCCCUGUGGGGAGACAUAGACACGUAGGAUCUGCAAGAUUCUGGAAACUAAAAGCACUAUGGACCUCCCACCUAGAUAUCUGGCCAUUGCCUUCCUUGUAUCCUGAGUUCUUCUCUAACCUUACAGCCUAAUGGUGAUAGGCUCCUAUGAGCUCUUCCUAAGAGCCCAGGGCAUGGUAGUCAUUAGAGUGUUUGUAGAAUGCUAGAAGGAGGUAGGAAAUAAAUCACUAUAGUUUUUUGGGUUUUGGGCUUGGGAAAUCAGAAACCUCAGUUUUGUCCCCAGUCCCAGUAGCAAUAUAGUUAAUAGACUCCUCUUCCCCAAACGCCCAUAGCAUACCAUUUGUAACUAAGAGAGUAUACUUUGCUUUAUUUUAGUCCUUUGUCCAUUUUUUCUCUCACACUGCCUUUAUGAAGCCUCAACCCUGUUCUUUCCCCCACUCAGUGUAACACAGGGCCUAGGACACAAUAAGUGUUCCAGUUCAAUAUUCAUGAAAUGAAAAAUGGCAUUAGCCAAAUUCCAUCUCACUGCCUGUUUCUCCAUCAAUCCAUGGGAGGCUUGGGGAGGCCAGUCCUUUGCCAUGGUCCACACAAGCAUUUCCCAAAUUCUUGGGCCUCCUGAGAAGCUCAUGAAGCCCAUGGUGGUGAAAUUGAGUUGGCUGUCCCUACUCCGAUGCCCCAGCCAGCAGCACUCAGCCAUCACCCACCAGGAUGAAUUCCUCCACACCAGCUUCUGCUUCACUGGAACAGUUUGCCCUAGGGUCAAUUCCUCUCUCUCCCACCAGAGACCAGUGAGGCAGGGCAGGAGACACUCAGCAGUUUCCCUCGUGCGGGAUCUCUAAUAAGAGGCUGGCAGAAAAGUUCCUGUGCUUCCCAUCCUCUGCCCAGCUCUAGGGUCUCAGGUGAGAGAAUAUCUGGCCUGUCUGGUUCACUCUUUUUUUUUUUUUUUUUUUUGAUAGAGUUUCACUCUUGUUGCCC